UACGUAGGGUGCGAGCGUUAAUCGGAAUUACUGGGCGUAAAGCGUGCGCAGGCGGUUUUGUAAGCCAGAUGUGAAAUCCCCGGGCUUAACCUGGGAAUGGCAUUUGGGACUGCAAGGCUGGAGUGCGGCAGAGGAGACUGGAAUUCCUGGUGUAGCAGUGAAAUGCGUAGAUAUCAGGAGGAAUACCGAUGGCGAAGGCAGGUCUCUGGGCUGACACUGACGCUCAUGCACGAAAGCGUGGGGAGCAAAC
rnacentral:rRNA from 1 species